rnacentral:pre_miRNA from 1 species
UCUUCAUUUCGUGUGCUCUCUCGUCGCUCUGACCUGUGAGAAAGUGUGCGAAAUGAAGAGA